rnacentral:misc_RNA from 1 species
GUAGGUGAACCUGCGGAAGGAUCAUUAACACGUAUCCAACGUUAAACAACCCUGUGAACCUUGAACGUGCUCUCGUACACGCUCUAGCAGCAAUCCCUGGUAAAUCAUUGUUGACCAGCUAUUGAGUCUGGGACUUCUGCUAUAUCUUGGUUCUU